UACGUAGGUGGCGAGCGUUGUCCGGAUUUACUGGGCGUAAAGGGCUUGUAGGCGGUCCGUUAAGUCCGAUGUGAAAUCUCCCGGCUCAACUGGGAGAGGUCAUUGGAUACUGGCGGACUAGAGGGGGGUAGAGGAAAGCAGAAUUCCUGGUGUAGCGGUGAAAUGCGUAGAUAUCAGGAGGAAUACCAGUGGCGAAGGCGUCACGCUAGAACGGCUCCGACAGUGAGGGACGAAGCCCUGGGGCGCAAACCGG
rnacentral:rRNA from 1 species